GACGAACGCUGGCGGCGUGCUUAACACAUGCAAGUCGAACGGAAAGGCCCCGCUUUUGUGGGGCGCUCGAGUGGCGAACGGGUGAGAAACACGUGAGUAACCCGCCCCUGACUUUGGGAUAACUGCAGGAAACUGGGGCUAAUACUGGAUAGGAGCUCCUGCUGCAUGGUGGGGGUUGGAUAGUUUCGGCGGUUGGGGAUGGACUCGCGGCUUAUCAGUUUGUUGGUGGGGUAGUGGCUUACCAAGGCUUUGACGGGUAGCCGGCCUGAGAGGGUGACCGGCCACAUUGGGACUGAGAUACGGCCCAGACUCCUACGGGAGGCAGCAGUGGGGAAUAUUGCACAAUGGGCGGAAGCCUGAUGCAGCAACGCCGCGUGCGGGAUGACGGCCUUCGGGUUGUAAACCGCUUUCAGCUGGGACGAAGCUUGUGUGACGGUAAUGGGUAGAGGAGCACCGGCUAACUACGUG
rnacentral:rRNA from 1 species